rnacentral:rRNA from 1 species
CAAUAGCGUAUAUUAAAGUUGUUGCAGUUAAAAAGCUCGUAGUUGGAUUUCUGGUGGGAGCGAUCGGUCUGGCGCUUAGCGCGAGUACUUGCAUCGUCUCCGGCCAUCCUUGGGGAGAGUCUGUCUGGCAUUAGGUUGUCGGGCAGAGGAUCCUCAUCGUUUACUGUGAAAAAAUUAGAGUGUUCAAAGCAGGCUUAUGCCGUUGAAUAUAUUAGCAUGGAAUAAUAAGAUAGGACUUUGGUACUAUUUUGUUGAUUUGCGCACCAAAGUAAUGAUUAAUAGGGACAGUUGGGGGUAUUCGUAUUCCGUUGUCAGAGGUGAAAUUCUUGGAUUUACGGAAGACGAACUACUGCGAAAGCAUUUACCAAGGAUGUUUUCAUUAA